ensembl:lncRNA
AUCAUGUUUAUUUUCCAUGUUCUGAAGGAGGUUCCAUGUAAAAAAUGAAGAGGGUGUGUGUCCAGUGUGUGGCAGCAGUUUAGCUGGACUGCACAUCCAGAGAGGAUAUACAUUGCUUAAACAUUUAAAUAGAUUUCUUACCCAUCUAUGAAAUAGAUACAGAAUUAUGUAAGAUUAAAAGGUUAGCCCCAUUGCCACUACUUUUGAGACAAGAGAUAAAUUAUACAAUGAAAUUUCCUGUCCUCAAACCAAUGAAUCAUCCUAAGCUUUUUUCAUAUCUCAAAGGUUGGUGCCAUCUGAAUGGACAGGACACCAUCUUCCCCAUCCUCACCCUCACAGAAUGGAGAGGUUGGCAUUAGCAGCCCAUCAGCAGGAAUGAGACACUGCUACACAUGAAUGGAGAAACACCUUUGUGAUGUCAUGAGAGGCUAGAACUUUAAACAGAAUGAAAGAAAGGAGAGUUAAAAGCAUUGAAAGGAUUCUGUGGAGUAACACUCUCAGAGCCAGUUUGCCAGGUACUGUGCUAGGCAUGGGGAAUACAGUGGCAACAAGGUGGAUAUCAUCCCAGCCUCACAACUCUCAAGGGCAAUGUCCAGGUGACACGGAGAGCUAACCAACUAAUGCCUGAAUCGGAGAAUCUGGAAACAUCAACUUGUGAGCAACUUAGCAACUUAGCACAAAGCCAAAUGUGUCCCCAUAUGGCACAACAGGAAGAUCACUGGAAAUUAAAAAGAGAUACACCUGCUCUGAACCUGGCUUUGCCACUAACCAGACUUUUCUCAAAGAAUGCAUCUGCCCUUGAGCCACCCACUGUCCGGAGCAGCGCUUUUCAUCUUCUCUCUGGACAUUGCUGCAAGAAAUGCAAACUGUUUAGAGAUUCUGAAAUUGCCUUUCUAUCUAUAGAAAGCUCUGCAUCACUUAAGACCAAGAGAAAGGCUUGACCUCCACCACCCACCAGACUGCUGAAGUUACUCUAUGCUGACCUGGCAAAAACGAG